GACCAAACAAAAUAAUCUUACAUU
rnacentral:miRNA from 1 species